GACGGAGGAUGCAAGCGUUAUCCGGAAUGAUUGGGCGUAAAGCGUCCGCAGGUGGCAGUUCAAGUCUGCUGUCAAAGACCGGGGCUUAACUUCGGAAAGGCAGUGGAAACUGAACAGCUAGAGUAUGGUAGGGGCAGAGGGAAUUCCUGGUGUAGCGGUGAAAUGCGUAGAGAUCAGGAAGAACAUCGGUGGCGAAGGCGCUCUGCUGGACCAUAACUGACGCUGAGACACGAAAGCGUGGGUAGCAAACAGG
rnacentral:rRNA from 1 species